UGCUAACAGGUUUUGAAUUUGAGUGUUUGUGAAAGCUUUUAAGGAAAGCUCCUCUCUAACCCUGAAGGAGACAGUUAACCACAGCGUCUGUGUAAUCUUCUGUGACAAAAAUAGGAGAAAAGGCACUCUUUCUAAGAGCUUGUGGGGGCAUGAUAGCAUGAAUGGAGCUGUUCCAGUAGAAGAUAAUCUGCUCUUCUGACAAAAAUAUUUUCUAGCUCAUCUCCUUUGAAAUGAACGUUUGUUAACAGCAUAUGCAGACAACUUUUGUUCUUGUGGGGUCAGGAGCUCAAGUGACUCCACUGAAACCCUGGCAUUUAUCAUAGACAAAAUUAGGUCAGAAGAGAGCACAGAGGUACUGAACUGAAAAGAGAUAAAUUCAUCCUUAGAAGGAAAAGAAUGGCUCGAGCUGCAAACUUGGGUUUAAUUUGUCUCCUCCACAUAAGAAGUGACUGUGAAGUGCCGUUGAGGAUCACAAUUAAUGAACAGUGGGGAAAAGGUGCUGCAUUUUUCAAACUGUUCAAAAUGUAAAUACUACAAAUUCAAGCUGAGACUUGGAAGAGAAGCUUUUUUAUUUUAUUUUCUUAUUUCUGUCCCUUGUGCAGAAUCCAGAAAAUUUAACUGUGGGUAGAUUCCUAAGAUUGUUCAACUUACAAAGCCCUCAAAGGCUCACAAAUGCUUUGCCAUAGGAUGUGGUUUCUAUCUUUUAAGACAAUAGUGGAAUGUCAGUAUUGGGGGCACUUGGAUAGACUCCCACUAAUAAAAUGUGAGAGGCA
rnacentral:lncRNA from 7 species